GCGGUAUCAUGGUCACUAGUCGAUCACCAAGGCAGCUGCAGGAGGAGAGGCGGUGGGGCUGAAUGGCAGUGGUGGCGCCCUUAACUGCCAUAAUCUUGAUGUUUGCGGCUAUGCCACUGCACACACGGACACAUACACUCACGACGUGAAUUAGCGAGUUUGUUUGUCGAUCUUGAGCCAGCCGGAUGACUCUGGAGUCGAUUCGCAAGCGAGGAGCGGAGGAGUCGUCGCCCGUGCAUCAUCAGCCACCAUCACCCGCAGCUGUGCUUGGGGCGCUUGGCAUUGGCUCACUGCGCCACCGUCUUUGGAGCACUCGCCGAGGAUUACGCGGUCCGCGAAGUCUUUCUUGUGUUCUCAUCGCGGCCACGAUUUGUUUCUUCAUUUGUUGUGUGAUCUUGUCACAGACGCAAGUGUGGGGGUGGGGCUGGUACGGCGAUGAAAUGGUGGCCUUUCGCCAGCAGCAAGAGCACGACGACGCUCGUCGUCGCUUCCGCUGUCCGCUGACAGAGGCGCUUGUCUUCUCGGCCAAGCGCUCUGCCGAAGACCCCCUCGAGGCCGCUUACACGCUGAUGUCUCAGAUGCCCUCAACGGUUGCACGCUCACAGCCGUACGCGUUCGGGCCUGAAAGCGUCACGCUCGACGGUGGCGCGUCUGAGGGGCAUCUUAACAGUGUAGAAGCGCUGACGGCCUACUGUGCAGCGCGCGUCGCGGAGAGGCCUUCAUGGAGGACCGCUAGCUGGCAGCAGGCGAGCGCAUCGAACGCGUCCGCGUUCCGCAUUCCAGUUUCGCCGCGCUACCUGGCGAACGCCAGCUACGCCGCCACUGGCAGCCCUGUGUGCCUCCGCGCUGGCCGCAUCUACCUGACGGAUGCGCGCAUCCGUGCCGGGAUUGCCGAGUUUCAGGCUGCUGGGUUGACAGUUCUUCCUUUGACGGACGACGUGCUCUCCAGACCGUCUUCUCGCGUCUCUAAAGCCGCAGUGCGGGUUGUGCCAGCGAUGGCGGUGCUUCUUAAUGGAGCGUGGAUUGCCACCCACUUUUUUCACCUCGUCACCGACGCCCUUGAGGCGCUCCGCAGCGCCUACCAAACCUGGCAGGACGGCGUGCUGCUGCGCAUCCCCACGCAAACGGUGCUGCUGCAUCAGCCAGAGUCGAACUGGAUGGACCGCCGCGGGGACACACAUAGGAAGAUGGAGCUAAGCGCUGCGUUGGCGAACGCAUUCUCGUCGCCGGAGCUGGCCCGCGGGUCUCCGUACAACAGCUCAUUUCUUUUCCGCUCGCAGUCCCGUCAUUGUGCAGAGUUGGAGGCGAAUGCGACGGUCACGAUGGCGUCGCCGCCGCCGCCGCGACGACAGUCUCAGGCCACUGCGUCCACUCUGUGCUUCUGCGACGGCCUUCUCGUGACCACCCACCGUCUCCCCGUGCUCGAGCGGGACAUUCUUUACGGUAUUCAGGAUUGGGUCGCGCGGCAGUUCCGGGCUUCGCCGUACGGAGUGAAUCGGUCCGUGCAGGAGAUGGAGCGGCUGCGGUUGCAGCACGCAUGGCUUUCGUCGGCCUCGACGUUGUGGAGCAUUGGAACGCUUACAUCUUCUCAAUUGUCUUUGUCGUAUAAGCCGCGAGCUCUAUUCGUGCACCGCACAAGCCGGGUGAUCGCUAAUGCGUCCCGCUAUGCAGGGUGGAUGCGGGCGGCGGGGUUCCGUGUGGAGGAGGUAUACCUGGAAAAACACACGGCUGCACAACAGUAUCACCUGGGCCGCUACGCGGACAUUGUGGUGGGCAUGCACGGGCUCGGCAUCGGCCACGCACUGUGGAUGGAGCGCUCGCCACCUCGCUGCCGCGCCGUGAUCGAGUUCCGCCCGUGGGUGAUUGCUUCCAUGCCAACGCAGCCCGUCCUCACCCUUGAGGGCGCUAUGCAAUAUCACUUUGUCACUAUUCCACCGAUUGACGUGCGCUUUGGCCCGUCGGUUGCGCACCCGGCAGAGGAGCGAGAGCUCCUGUUGUCGUCAGCGCGGAUGGUCAACGCCUUCCGCUAUCCAAGCUUCACCGACCAAAUCGCCAUCUACGAUGACGACAGGGUAAAGCGGGUUAUUGCGGAUGUCCGUCAGCAUCUCGAGCGCUGCCUGCCACCAUAGGGCGACGGUGAUGCAGAUAGGCAGGCUCAUCCGUCUGUUGUAGUUCAUGCGACUAUCCCCCCUCGCGUGUGUAUGUGUAUAUAUGUCAGUGUGUGCUGUUGCACACGGGAAUGUGCCUCGGAGCGUCUCCUGCCACCCCGCUUUUCCCUCCUCAGACCAUAUCCAUUUUGUCUUUCUGUACAGCGCCGCCUCCACGAUAAUGAGGGGCAUCUCCGUGCGUGGCAUCUCAGGGUCCACCGCGCACCUUCUCUUUUGGGAGGCCGAGCAGCCCCCCCUCCCCCUUCCCUCUCGCUCUAUCCUUGCCAGUGCUGAACAGCCCCCGGUGGUGACAGGGCCAAGCAUCUAUGGCGUAGGGGUGGCCAGAGCGAUGUAUCCCCACGGAUGCCGGCGGCCGGGCCCUGGAUGGCGCUGCGUCGGGGCGGCCUGUGACCGUGCACGCGCCCGUGCCGUCCAUGUGAUGGGCGGUGUGUGUGCGCGACCCGAGCGUAUCCCACGCCCGGCCCUCACGCUGCCUACUGGUGGGUGGGCCCGGGUGCCGCCGCGAGGGAUGCACGACGUGGCGACCCGCCUGCUGUGCGCGGCUGCGAGGCGACCUGCGGGGCGGGAGGUGGGCAGUGCUCCGAUGACUGAGUCGGCGCAUUGCUGCACCGCGUGUCUGGCGCUGCUUCGCACCGCGCGAUGGGGGCGUGUGGCCGGCCGAGUGUGGAGUGGGGAGUGUAAGUCGUGUUGUACGGCAGAGAAACGCACACGUAGAAAAGAGCAAUACAACCUGCGACGCUUCUGGGCAGCACUUGAGAAGAAGGGGGCAACGAACAGGCGAAGCAACGGGUAAGAUGAGGGACCUUUGCGAGUCUUAGGGUCACCCCAGCCACGCGGGUGCGCAUGUGCGUAUAUGUUCGGUAUGGGACACUCGGGCGGCAACAAGGCCCCGGCCCCCCUCCUCUACCUCCCAUGUCCAAUCUUAGGCGUUUGAUUGCGGGAUCGAAUGACGUGGAUUCUGUCCCCGUUCUGCACUGCCUCGCGUCUGCGUCUGUGUGUCCGCUAAUCCCUGCCCUCCUCUCUGCUGCGUACCAUCCCACCCCGCCUCUUUGCACACACACAAACACUCGCUCAUGGAUUGGAG
rnacentral:misc_RNA from 1 species